CGCCAGCACGUGACGCAGAAAGCAAUACCAAACCAAAAGUGUUGCCAGGAAGUGACGCAGAAAGCAAGAUCACUGCUGCUAUUCUCAUCAUCUUCGCGCUCAUCUGCUUAGUGAUACCCGUUUCUACAAUCCUCUUCCUGGAGUGGAGAAGAAGAAAGGCCACUCAUAAACCCCAUAUUGAAAAGGAAACUCUUGCAGGAGGACAGACUCAAGUGUCUCUUCUUGAUGAGCCCAGCUUCUGUUUUCCUCAGCAGGAACGCGGCAGCAGCAGCAAUCAGAGUUCGACGGCCUCGCUAGUCUCACAUGAUAUCGGCCCUUUGGAAGCAUGAACUUGUGUUGUGUAGCAAGCUGAACAUAAAUGAGCAUUCAUUUGUAGUUAUAUGUAUAAUGUCUAUGUAAUGUGUAAUUUAUUUACUGUAUUCUACUGGAAUCCUGUCGUUAAUACUGUAUUCAUUAUGUUUGUGAUUUUUGUUGCCAUUAAAGCAGCUGAAGUAUA